UACGGAGGGUGCAAACGUUGCUCGGAAUCAUUGGGCGUAAAGCGCACGUAGGCGGCCUGAUAAGUCGGGUGUGAAAGCCCUGGGCUCAACCCAGGAAGUGCACUCGAAACUGUCAGGCUUGAAUAUGGAAGAGGGUCGCGGAAUUCCCGGUGUAGAGGUGAAAUUCGUAGAUAUCGGGAGGAACACCAGUGGCGAAGGCGGCGACCUGGGCCAUAUUGACGCUGAGGUGCGAAAGCGUGGGGAGCAAACAGG
rnacentral:rRNA from 1 species